rnacentral:lncRNA from 1 species
UUGCACCAUGAUAGGUCCCACGCCCAAUCUGUUUUGUGAUGCCAAACAUCCCACGUUUUCUUCCCUAUUUUGCAUGUAAGAAUCCUUAUGAAACUCUCUUUUUCUCAUGUAAAAUCUGGACGAAAUUGAAAGGGUGUUGGCGGCACAAAAUCUCCUAAAGUCCUAAGGUGUUAGGACACUCAUCUCCUAUCCUAAUUCAAACUUCUCUUAUGCCUAUUUAAACAUGGGAUAUAUGGGACGGUUUGUGGGAGAUAAGGAUCAGGUUUGACGUCAAAACAAGAGGGCUUUGUGUGUGAAAAUAAUUAAGGGAGAGAGAAGGAUGGCGUGAAAGGCUAUGGGUGCAAGGUAUGGUUGCUUCAUAUCCCUUCUUUCUUACACAACCAAGGGUUGGUUGUUGGGAUAUUUCCUCUCUUCUCUUUUGUCCUUGUUGGGACAUGGGUGUCUCCUCUCUUCUUUAUCCAAAAGUUGGAUAAAAUUCUUACAUCUCUAUUGUAGAGAUUUGAAGCAUGGAUUUUAAGAAGAAAAGAGAAGAAAGGGUUCUUCUCAUGAUCUCUAGCGUAGAGAUCAAGAUCUUCCUAUGUUCUUCUUCUUCUCUAAGAGUGUCUUGAGAGAAAAAAAGAUUUUCAACUAUCAAGAUGCGAUCUCUGCAAGGGAGCUAGCACCCCGGUGAGAUCAAAAGGCUUCUGAUCAGAUCAGAGUCUCGUGUGGAUAUCCAUAAAGGUCGGAUAUUUGUGCGGCUACAAAGGACCUUCAGAAGACAUCCAUGAUGAUCAGUUCGCGGUAA